rnacentral:tRNA from 3 species
UGGGGUAUAGCCAAGUGGUAAGGCAGCGGGUUUUGAUCCCACCAUGCCCAGGUUCGAAUCCUGGUACCCCAGCCA